ACUAAAGCUAGCCCAAACAUUAAUCCAACCCUGUAUAAACAACAACAUUCCAUAAAAUAAAACAUUUGUAACCAUAAAAGUAUAGGAGAUAGAAAUUUUUAACAUGGAGCUAUAGAGAAAGUACCGUAAGGGAACGAGUGAAAGAUCAAUUAAAAGUAACAAAUAGCAAAGAUUACCCCUUGUACCUUUUGCAUAAUGAUUUAACCAGAAAAAACUUAGCACAGCGACCUUCAGUUAAGCCCCCCGAAACCAGACGAGCUAUCCAUGAACAGCUAAUUUGAGCAAACUCGUCUAUGUAGCAAAAUAGUGAGAAGAUUUAUGGAUAGUGGUGAAAAGCCUAUCGAGCCUGGUGAUAGCUGGUUGUCCAGCCAAGAAUUUUAGUUCAACUUUAAAUUUACCCCUUAACCCAUUAAUUUCUAUGUAAAUUUAACUGUUAAUCUAAAGAGGUACAGCUCUUUAGAUCUAGGAUACAACCUUAAUUAGAGAGUAAAUCCAAAUAAACAACCAUAGUUGGCCCAAAAGCAGCCAUCAAUUAAGAAAGCGUUCAAGCUCAACAAAUAAUUACUCUUAAUUCAAGACUUUACAAUCACCUCCUAAUCAAACACUGGACUAAUCUAUAAUAUUGUAGAAGUAACACUGUUAAUAUGAGUAACAAGAUUAAAAUCUCCUAGGCGCAAACUUAUGUCAGAUCAAAUAAUAACUGAUAUUUAACAGCCAAUCAAACAAACCCAAAAAUUAAUAAUUUAUGCUUUUACUGUUAACCCGACACAGGAGCGCCACAUAUUAAGGAAAGAUUAAAAGAAGUAAAAGGAACUCGGCAAACAUAAACCCCGCCUGUUUACCAAAAACAUCACCUCUAGCAUUNNNNNNNNNNNNNNNNCUGCCUGCCCAGUGACAAUUGUUUAACGGCCGCGGUAUCCUGACCGUGCAAAGGUAGCAUAAUCAUUUGUUCUUUAAAUAAGGACUUGUAUGAAUGGCCACACGAGGGUUUAACUGUCUCUUACUUCCAAUCAGUGAAAUUGACCUUUCCGUGAAGAGGCGGAAAUAAUCCAAUAAGACGAGAAGACCCUAUGGAGCUUUAAUUUAUCUUACCCAAAAAGAAACUAUUUACUCACAAAUUAGUGAAUUAACACGUAUUCUAUACUGGGUAAAAAAUUUUGGUUGGGGUGACCUCGGAGAACAAAAAAACCUCCGAGAAUUCAAUACCAAGACUAACAAGUCAAAGUAAAACAUACCACUGAUCCAGUCUAACUGAUCAACGGAACAAGUUACCCUAGGGAUAACAGCGCAAUCCUAUUUAAGAGUCCAUAUCGACAAUAGGGUUUACGACCUCGAUGUUGGAUCAGGACAUCCUAAUGGUGCAGCCGCUAUUAAUGGUUCGUUUGUUCAACGAUUAAAGUCCUACGUGAUCUGA
rnacentral:rRNA from 1 species